UACGUAGGGUGCGAGCGUUGUCCGGAAUUAUUGGGCGGAAAGGGCUCGUAGGCGGUUUGUCGCGUCGGGAGUGAAAACACUGGGCUUAACCGAGUGCUUGCUUUCGAUACGGGCAGACUUGAGGCAUUCAGGGGAGAACGGAAUUCCUGGUGUAGCGGUGAAAUGCGCAGAUAUCAGGAGGAACACCGGUGGCGAAGGCGGUUCUCUGGGAAUGUUCUGACGCUGAGGAGCGAAAGUGUGGGGAGCGAACAGG
rnacentral:rRNA from 1 species